rnacentral:rRNA from 1 species
CAGGGAAUCUUGCGCAAUGGGCGAAAGCCUGACGCAGUGACGCCGCGUGUGGGAUGACGGCUUUCGGGUUGUAAACCACUUUCAGCAGGGACGAUGAUGACGGUACCUGCAGAAGAAGCUCCGGCCAACUACGUGCCAGCAGCCGCGGUAAUACGUAGGGAGCAAGCGUUGUCCGGAUUUAUUGGGCGUAAAGAGCUCGUAGGUGGUUCAGCAAGUCGGGUGUGAAAGCUCUGGGCUCAACCCAGAGAUGCCACCCGAUACUGCUGUGACUAGAGUCAGGUAGGGGAUCGCGGAAUUCCAGGUGUAGCGGUGAAAUGCACAGAUAUCUGGAGGAACACCAGCGGCGAAGGCGGCGAUCUGGGCCUGUACUGACACUGAGGAGCGAAAGCGUGGGGAGCGAACAGG